rnacentral:tRNA from 1 species
AAGGUUUUAAGUUAACUAAACUGUUAGCCUUCAAAGCUUAAAAUAAAGAUCUAUUUUUAAACCUUGCC